UACGAACGGCCCGAGCGUUGCGCGGAAUUACUGGGCGUAAAGGGCACGUAGGCUGGCUGUUAAGUCGGGGGUGAAAUCCUGAGGCUCAACCUCAGAAUUGCCUCCGAUACUGGCGGUCUCGAGUGCGGGAGAGGUGAGUGGAAUUCCCAGUGUAGAGGUGAAAUUCGUAGAUAUUGGGAAGAACACAAGUGGCGAAGGCGGCUCACUGGCCCGCAACUGACGCUGAGGUGCGAAAGCGUGGGGAGCAAACAGG
rnacentral:misc_RNA from 1 species